rnacentral:precursor_RNA from 1 species
UGUCUGAAGUUGUGUACUUACUUGUGAACUACAAGUCGUACAUGACUUUACACAUU